rnacentral:misc_RNA from 1 species
GAUGAAGAACGUAGCGAAAUGCGAUAAGUAAUGUGAAUUGCAGAAUUCAGUGAAUCAUCGAAUCUUUGAACGCACAUUGCGCCCCCUGGUAUUCCGGGGGGCAUGCCUGUCCGAGCGUCAUUACAACCCUCAAGCUCAGCUUGGUGUUGGGCCCCGCCGCCCCGGCGGGCCCUAAAGUCAGUGGCGGUGCCGUCCGGCUCCGAGCGUAGUAAUUCUUCUCGCUCUGGAGGUCCGGUCGUGUGCUUGCCAGCAAGCCCCAAUUUUUUUCAGGUUGACCUCGGAUCAGGUAGGGAUACCCGCUGAACUUAAGCAUAUCAAUAAGCGGAGGA